rnacentral:rRNA from 1 species
AGAGUUUGAUCCUGGCUCAGGAUGAACGCUAGCGAUAGGCUUAACACAUGCAAGUCGAGGGGCAGCAUGGUCUUAGCUUGCUAAGACUGAUGGCGACCGGCGCACGGGUGCGUAACGCGUAUGCAACUUGCCUCACAGAGGGGGAUAACCCGUCGAAAGACGGACUAAUACCGCGUACACUUGGGAUAGGGCAUCCUACCCCAAGGAAAUGAAAUUCGCUGUGAGAUAGGCAUGCGUCCCAUUAGCUAGUUGGUGAGGUAACGGCUCACCAAGGCGACGAUGGGUAGGGGAACUGAGAGGUUGAACCCCCACACUGGUACUGAGACACGGACCAGACUCCUACGGGAGGCAGCAGUGAGGAAUAUUGGUCAAUGGGCGAGAGCCUGAACCAGCCAAGUCGCGUGAAGGAUGACUGUCUUAUGGAUUGUAAACUUCUUUUAUACGGGAAUAACAAGAGUCACGUGUGACUCCCUGCAUGUACCGUAUGAAUAAGCAUCGGCUAACUCCGUGCCAGCAGCCGCGGUAAUACGGAGGAUGCGAGCGUUAUCCGGAUUUAUUGGGUUUAAAGGGUGCGUAGGCGGCCUGUUAAGUCAGCGGUGAAAUCUAGGAGCUUAACUCCUAAAUUGCCAUUGAUACUGGCGGGCUUGAGUGUAGAUGAGGUAGGCGGAAUGCGUGGUGUAGCGGUGGAAUGCAUAGAUAUCACGCAGAACUCCGAUUGCGAAGGCAGCUUACUAAGGUACAACUGACGCUGAAGCACGAAAGCGUGGGUAUCAAACAGGAUUAGAUACCCUGGUAGUCCACGCAGUAAACGAUGAUAACUGGGCGUAUGCGAUAUACAGUAUGCUCCUAAGCGAAAGCGUUAAGUUAUCCACCUGGGGAGUACGCCGGCAACGGUGAAACUCAAAGGAAUUGACGGGGGCCCG